AGUGAACGCUGGCGGUAGGCCUAACACAUGCAAGUCGAACGGCAGCACAGUAAGAGCUUGCUCUUACGGGUGGCGAGUGGCGGACGGGUGAGGAAUACAUCGGAAUCUACUUUUUCGUGGGGGAUAACGUAGGGAAACUUACGCUAAUACCGCAUACGACCUACGGGUGAAAGCAGGGGAUCUUCGGACCUUGCGCGAUUGAAUGAGCCGAUGUCGGAUUAGCUAGUUGGCGGGGUAAAGGCCCACCAAGGCGACGAUCCGUAGCUGGUCUGAGAGGAUGAUCAGCCACACUGGAACUGAGAAACGGUCCAAACUCCUACGGGAGGCAGCAAUGGGGAAUAUUGGACAAUGGGCGCAAGCCUGAACCAGCCAUACCGCGUGAGUGAAGAAGGCCUUCGGGUUGUAAAGCCCUUUUGUUGGGAAAGAAAAGCAGCAGGUUAAUACCCCGCUGUUCUGACGGUACCCAAAGAAUAAGCACCGGCUAACUUCGU
rnacentral:rRNA from 1 species